UCGCGCGCGCAUCAUCGUCGGGAGUGCCGAGAGCAAGUUCCGUGCGUGUGUCGUAGCAAAGUAUCGCCUGAUAAGUGCGUGUCUCACAGAACGAGACGUCGGCAGUGUCGACUGCAGUUUCGCGCGUUCGUGUUGUGGAGGUUAGGAGUUAUCUCGCUGCAGUUUACGCCUUUCAAGCCAGCGAAAGGAUUUCUGCUGAGGGCGAUAAUGAAGAGUGACAAGAGAUAAUGAGAGCACGAUCGAAGGAGCAUGAUGAAAACCUGAUCACAUUCAUUCUUCUUUCUUCAAGCGGUGGCGCGACAUGCGUGCCCGCGGAGGGAAUUUGUCAACUGGAUUUUCCGCUCGCCGUCGUCUAGCAUCUUCGUCUGCGAUGCGUAACAACGAGAGCUGGCCAGUAGUCGAUUGCAUCAAUCGCGUUUUACUCCACGAAAUCGUCGAAUGGAUUUUCCGAGAAUUUCUAUCACCGACUGGCUUGGGCACACACGAGAGUCUGUAUGCAUACGUCACGUCGAGGUGCCGCGUGCUGAAAGAUGAGACGAACACGAGAGAUGGAACUUUGCAGACAACGGAAAAGAAAAAACGACAUACAAUCAUUGCACGCUCGACGUCAUACGACGUGUCGCACGAGGAAUUACGAAUCACUAUCAGAUCGCGCGAUAUUCGUAACUUGAUUUAAAUAAACUCGGAUCAAUAAAUUUCGGACUUUUCUAGAUAAAAUAUUUUUACAGGGGGCGGAAAUGCAAAUUGUGCGUUUUACACACAUACAAUACAAUGCA